CUGAUUACCAGGUGGACUUUGGCUGUUUGGACCUCCCACCCUUUUAACUCCUACUUGCAUGGCCCUGGAUUUCUACAGACUGGAACAGGUCAUUGCAUAUUGAAAAAUAAUGAAUAGCAUUGGGCCAAGAACCAAUCCCUGCUGGAGUCUAUUGGAAACACCGUCCCUCAUUGCUAGCCUUUCAGGUACAACAAUGAAGAAGCUAGAAAGUGCUGAUGGCCCACCAGCAAAGACAAAGGGACAUGGAAGAGCUUUAACCUUCUGGUGAACCUUUCAGCCAGCCCAUGAGUAAUGCCUGCUGUGACUCAGCAAGGGGCAUGUGACUGCCCACAUGACACUGACCUCCAUUUUGGAACCUGUAUUUUUCCACAAACUGGGCUGGAAACUACCUUUGAUACAAAGGACUCCCACCAAAUAGUAAAGCUAUGUAAAGUGGGGUUUUACCUCAUCUAGAGGCCUCACUCCCCACACAAGGACACUCCUGGAAACAUCUGAAAAACAAAGCCUGAACUAGGGGAAGUGCUGGUCCCAGACUAAAAGGAUUUUUAGCCUGUGUAUGGAAACCUGGUGGACUGCUUGUAGCAUCAGCCAAGGCGAUAAAUUGCAAUUUAUAUCCAAUCUUUCUAGUAUUUUAGGCUCAGUUUGUGGUUUAGUUUAUUUACUAGGUAAUCUGCUUUGAUCUGUUUGCUAUCACUUAUAAGAACUUAAAAUUUAUCUUUUUGUAGUAAAAAAAUUGGGUUUUUUGCUUUAUCUAAA